rnacentral:rRNA from 1 species
UACGGGGGGGGGCAAGCGUUGUUCGGAAUUACUGGGCGUAAAGGCUCGUAGGCGGCCAACUAAGUCGGAUGUGAAAUCCCCAGGCUUAACCUGGGAACUGCAUCCGAUACUGGAUGGCUUGAAUCCGGGAGAGGGAUGCAGAAUUCCAGGUGUAGCGGUGAAAUGCGUAGAUAUCUGGAGGAAUACCGGUGGCGAAGGCGGCAUCCUGGACCGGCAUUGACGCUGAUGAGCGAAAGCUAGGGGAGCAAACGGGG